CAAUAGCGUAUAUUUAAGUUGCUGCAGUUAAAAAGCUCGUAGUUGGAUUUCGGGUGGGAAUGGCCGGUCCGCCGUUUCGGUGUGCACUUGCUACGCCCACCUUGCUGCCGGGGACGUGCUCUUGAGUUCACGCUCGGGACACGGAGUCGGCGAGGUUACUUUGAGUAAAUUAGAGUGUUCAAAGCAGGCCUACGCUCUGAAUACAUUAGCACGGAAUAACACGAUAGGACUCUGGCCUAUCUUGUUGGUCUGUAGGACCGGAGUAAUGAUUAAGAGGGACAGUCGGGGGCACUCGUAUUUCAUUGUCAGAGGUGAAAUUCUUGGAUUUAUGAAAGACGAACUACUGCGAAAGCAUUUGCCAAGGAUGUUUUCAUUAA
rnacentral:rRNA from 1 species